GAGAUUGGGUUUAGUAUUAACUUCUUCCAUGCAAUCAUAUACAUUUCAUAUUUAUUUUCAUCAAUAUGUACUAUGUUAUUUUUAUGGUUCUAUUUUAUUUGGGUUUAAGAUUUAUAUUUAGGUUUAUGGUUUAGUGAUUAGGGUUUAAGGUUUAAUAUUUAAGGAUUGAGGUGGGGUAGAGGUUAGGAUAAAGUUUAUUUUUAGGUGUUGAGAAGGUGUUAGUGUAUUUUGGUGAUAUGAAAUAGAACAGUCGAGAAUUUUCAAAUCAUGUGCUUGUGCAUUCUUCGACUUGUUAUUUGCAGUAAACGGAAUACACUUUUUAAUCAAAAAAUCUUCUAUUUUCUUCCACACAUUUACUGCAAACAGUAACCCCAUAUGCGGUAAAAAUUAGAGUGAUUUGUCUCCUUUUUUUCGUAAGUUAUGACCACGUGACAUAAGUUUUGGCCCAGAUAAGUUGGUGUUGACGUCAUCUCUUUCGUUACGUAUGAACUUUUUUUUUUUUUUUUUUGUAACAUCGUUACGUAUGAACAGUUUAAAUAAAUUGUGGACCAAGUAAGUUGGUGCCAACGUCAUCUCCUUAUCAUUUGUAACCGGUAACUUGUAUUAGCAAAGAGUAAAACCGGAGCAAACGAGUGCUAAAUGUUAGAAACUCAAUUAUAUCAAAAUCAUAUUCAUUCCCUUAAUUACACUCGAGAUUGUAACCAUUUGGAAAAUUCU
rnacentral:lncRNA from 1 species